rnacentral:rRNA from 1 species
CAGUCCGAAAGGACUGCUAAUACCGCAUACAUUCGAGGUGUCUAGAAAACCUUGAAGAAACUUCCGGGGUGGAGGGAGGGUGCUGCGGCCCAUCAGGUAGUUGGUGAGGUAACGGCUCACCAAGCCGACGACGGGUAGGGGGCCUGAGAGGGUGACCCCCCACACUGGAACAGACAUACGGUCCAGACUCCUACGGGAGGCAGCAGUAAGGGAUAUUGGGCAAUGGGCGCAAGCCUGACCCAGCAACGCCGCGUGGAGGACGAAGGCCUUCGGGUCGUAAACUCCUUUUGACAGGGACGAGUAAGGACGGUACCUGUCGAAUCAGUCACGGCUAACUACGUGCCAGCAGCCGCGGUAAAACGUAGGUGGCGAGCGUUAUCCGGAUUUACUGGGCGUAAAGGGUGUGCAGGCGGGUCGUUAAGUGGUGCAUGAAAAUUCCGGGCUUAACCCGGAGACGCUGUGCCAGACUGACGGUCUUGAGUACGUGAGAGGGUUGUGGAAUUCCGGGUGUAGUGGUGAAAUGCGUAGAGAUCCGGAGGAACACCAGAGGCGAAGGCGGCAACCUGGCACGUUACUGACGCUCAUACACGACAGCAUGGGGAGCGAACGGGAUUAGAAACCCCGGUAGUCCAUGCCGUAAACGAUACUAGCUGGGCGUCGGAUGGUGCAAACCGUCCGGUGUCGAAGUCAACACGCUAAGCUAGCCGCCUGGGGAGUACGGUCGCAAGGCUAAAACUCAAAGGAAUUGACGGAAUCGA